rnacentral:rRNA from 1 species
UUACGGGUGGCUGCAGUGGGGAAUAUUGGACAAUGGGCGAAAGCCUGAUCCAGCCAUGCCGCGUGUGUGAAGAAGGCCUUCGGGUUGUAAAGCACUUUCAGUGGGGAAGAAAGCCUUGGGGCUAAUACCCUCGAGGAAGGACAUCACCCACAGAAGAAGCACCGGCUAACUCCGUGCCAGCAGCCGCGGUAAUACGGAGGGUGCGAGCGUUAAUCGGAAUUACUGGGCGUAAAGCGCGCGUAGGCGGUCUGAUAAGCCGGUUGUGAAAGCCCCGGGCUCAACCUGGGAACGGCAUCCGGAACUGUCAGGCUAGAGUGCAGGAGAGGAAGGUAGAAUUCCCGGUGUAGCGGUGAAAUGCGUAGAGAUCGGGAGGAAUACCAGUGGCGAAGGCGGCCUUCUGGACUGACACUGACGCUGAGGUGCGAAAGCGUGGGUAGCAAACAGGAUUAGAUACCCCAGUAGUC